rnacentral:lncRNA from 1 species
AUGAGGACUAUUGGUUUGCCUGUUUGUCCUUGGAGGCUGGAGGCCAGACAAGGAAGGCGGAAAACGAAGAGGGGCUGCGACAUAAGGAGAGGAGGCACCGCGGAGAAGUGGAUCCAGACUCAGUUUCUCUGCAGUGAUCACCCACUCACCGGUGCGACUGUCCUGAUUACACAGGUGGCCUCUUUCACAGCAAGGAUCUCAGCAGAUAAGAACUCCUCUCUCCCUAGGUGGGAGGGAGGGGGCACCGGGAAGGCCUCAAGGUCAGGGCCCCACUCCGAGUCUUCUCCAUGCCUUCAGAACGCAGAACAGCUGCAGCCCUGAAUGAGUCUGAAAGGGGGCCAUAUUCAUGCAGAUGACACCUCCCUGGGUCUGGCACUGUGUGGGGCGCUUCAUCUUUGUCAUCUCAUGGGGACUCACCUCAGCUCUGCUAGGUUGUUUCCAUUUUACAGAAGAGAAAACCAAGGCCUGGACAGCAUGCAUGACCUGUCCCAGGUCACACAGCCAGUGAGGGACAGAGGCAGAAGUCCUUUCUAGUCCAUCACGUGGGAAACGGUGAAACAGUGUUUUAUUGGACAUUGAUCAAGGACCACAAACUGGAAGCUCUGGGAGGGCAGGGUCUUUACUUGCCCUUUCGCCAUUCCUUCCCUUGACAAGCACCUAUCACAUGCCUGGCACGGUGCUUUGUGCCAGGGUUACAAACAUGAACGGAUGGACAAGGUCUCUGCCUUUACAGAAUUCCUAGUCCAGUGAGGGAAACCGAUGACUUGUGUGUAAAUAGAUAACAUAUUUUCAGGUAAUGAUGCUGUGAAGGAAGUGCAAAGCCACGGGAUGGAACGAUCGGGGAUGGGUGGGUAGGGCUGCUUUAGAAGCGUAAUCAGGGGAGGCCUCCUAGAGGAGGUGAUGUUGGUACUGAGACCUUCCUGGCAAGUGGAGUCAGCCACGGCAAGUACUAGUGGAAGAAGGAUUUGGACUUUGUCAAAGUCCCCCACUGUGUUGGGAUGGGGCGAAGGUGGGGGGUAGGAGAGAUGGUUCUGGAAAGGUUGGUAAGUGCCGGGUCAUGCAGGGCUUGGAAGGUCAUGGUGCUAAGUGCAGUAGGAAACCAUGGGAGGGUUUAAGAAGAGGUGCUCUGAUUUACAAGUUAGAGAGAUGACUCAGUGGGCUCCAGGAGAAUGGAGUGGAGGAGGGUGAGGUCGAUGUGGGAGCAUGGAGGUCAAAUAAGGGAGGUCCAGGCACCGGAUGAUGGUGGCUUGGAUUCUGGUGUUGGCAGUGGGGAUGUCAGGAGGGAAUCGAUUUGGGAUGUUUUGGAAGGUAGAAGCAACGGAACUUGCUGAUGGCCUGGAUCCCAGCGCCUAGAACAUAGUAAACACUCAAUAAAGAUUCAUUGAAUGGGUGAGCA